AUUGAACGCUGGCGGCAUGCCUUACACAUGCAAGUCGAACGGCAGCACGAGAGCUUGCUCCUGGUGGCGAGUGGCGAACGGGUGAGUAAUACAUCGGAACGUACCCAGGAGUGGGGGAUAACGUAGCGAAAGUUACGCUAAUAACGCAUAUUCUGUGAGCAGGAAAGCGGGGGAUUGCAAGACCUCGCGCUCUUGGAGCGGCCGAUGUCGGAUUAGCUAGUUGGUGAGGUAAAAGCUCACCAAGGCGACGAUCCGUAGCAGGUCUGAGAGGAUGAUCUGCCACACUGGGACUGAGACACGGCCCAGACUCCUACGGGAGGCAGCAGUGGGGAAUUUUGGACAAUGGGGGCAACCCUGAUCCAGCCAUGCCGCGUGAGUGAAGAAGGCCUUCGGGUUGUAAAGCUCUUUCGGCGGGGAAGAAAUGGCAACGGCUAAUAUCCGUUGUUGAUGACGGUACCCGCAUAAGAAGCACCGGCUAACUACGUGCCAGCCGCCGCUGUAA
rnacentral:rRNA from 1 species